rnacentral:rRNA from 1 species
GACGAACGCUGGCGGCGUGCCUAAUACAUGCAAGUCGAACGCAGUGGGGACGGGUGAGUAACACCUGGGUAACCUCCCAUCAGAGGGGAUAACACUUGGCAACAGGUGCUAAACCGAUACUGAUGGAUGGACCCGCGGUGCAUUAGCUAGUUGGUGAGGUAACGGCUCACCAAGGCGACGAUGCAUAGCCGGCCUGAGAGGAUGAUCAGCCACACUGGAACUGAGACACGGCCCAGACGCCGACGGGAGGCAGCAGUGGGGAAUCGUCGACAAUGGACGAAAGUCUGACCUAGCAACGCCGCGUGGGUGAAGAAGGUUUUCGGGUCGUAAAGCUCUGUUGUUAGGGAAGCGGUAUCUAAAGAAUAAGCCACGGCUAACUACGUGCCAGCAGCCGCGGUAAUUC